GCAGGUCAGGUCUAUGACAUCACCGGGAGCACAAGACGUUCUCUGUGCACAGCUCUCCAGUCAACAUUUUCCCAUCGGUGGAAAAGCGGGGCCAUGUGCGCCUCCAACCAGUCCUUACUUAAAUCCAACUCGGAAACAUUGUUUACGAAAACAAGGCUAUUAGUGCCUGGGAAUUAUUGCCGUAUGAUUAGUGAGAACUGAAUACAAUUAGAUAACAUCUCUUGGUGGAUCGCAGCCCGAGCGAGCGUAUUACUCACCGGCUGUAAUAGAAAAGCAAUGUGGCCUUAAUGUUUAUAUAUGUCACAAAUUAACGGUAAUCACCGCACACUAUAAAUACAGCAUCAGGAAUAUGGCAGCGAGGGUCACAGGGAUGAAUUAGCCGAAUAAAUACAGUGUGA